rnacentral:rRNA from 1 species
ACAGAGGGGGCAAGCGUUGUUCGGAAUUACUGGGCGUAAAGCGCACGUAGGCGGACUGAUAAGUCAGGGGUGAAAUCCCGGGGCUCAACCCCGGAACUGCCUUUGAUACUGUCAGUCUAGAGUUCGAGAGAGGUGAGUGGAAUUCCGAGUGUAGAGGUGAAAUUCGUAGAUAUUCGGAGGAACACCAGUGGCGAAGGCGGCUCACUGGCUCGAUACUGACGCUGAGGUGCGAAAGCGUGGGGAGCAAACAGGA